rnacentral:tRNA from 1 species
GAAGAAGGAAAUAUUAGAUUCUUAGUCUUAGGGGUUGAUUAAUGAUUGAGUACUAUUCAGUCGUUUUCUAUAAAUAUGAAUUUUUUGCAUCUAUCUACCUUAUCCAAUUUCUUGUUAAAUACGUACUUUUUAUUCUUUUAAAGUAAAUCGAAAUUACAAUCCAGGGCGGA